UGCUUUGCGCAGUGGCAGUAUCAUAGCCAAUGAGGUUUAUCUGAGGCUCGAUUAUUGCUAAUUGAAAACUUUCCCCCUAUAUAUUGUAUAUGAUAUAAUUCUGCAAUAGUCAAUACAUUCUUUUAAACUUUGGGUAAAG